GGACUACUCGGGUUUCUAAUCCCGUUUGCUCCCCUGGCCUUCGUGCCUCAGCGUCAGUAACUGUCCAGAGACUAGCUUUCGCCACCGGUCUUCCUUACGAUAUCUACGCAUUUCACUGCUACACCGUAAAUUCCAGUCUCCUCUCCAGUACUCGAGCACGGCAGUAUCGAGUGCAGUUCCGGGGUUGAGCCCCGGGAUUUCACACCCGACUUGCCAUGCCGCCUACGCACCCUUUACGCCCAAUGAAUCCGAACAACGCUCGGGACCUCUGUAUUACCGCGGCUGCUGGCAC
rnacentral:rRNA from 2 species